GAGGGUGUAGCUCAGUGGUAGAGCACAUGCUUAGCAUGCAUGAGGUCCUGGGUUCAAUCCCCAGCACCUCCA
rnacentral:tRNA from 1 species